CCCCGCCUCACUUACCGCUUCGUCCCACUCGUCGAAAAGGAACAGCCGCUGGAGAGGAGAAGCGGCGCGACUGUGGAGACGGCGGCGCGACCGACUGCCUUCUUCCUCCUCCUCAUGUCACUUGGUAUGUGUACGAAUCCCCAUCAGCAACCCGAUUCAAGUUACGCGAUGUUCACUUAUGAUGUAGAUUUGGAUAAUGCAAUUUUCACCUGAGAUAGGUACAGUACAUGUCAUGUUAAUCUGAAUUUUGCUUGCCAUGAUUCUAUGGAUCAGUGUGACAUAGGCAUGUGAUGCUGAUCUGAAUGAGGCAUGUGAUGUAGAUCCUGUAACAAAUGAGCAAUUCCAAUGCAAUUUAUGACCA